rnacentral:tRNA from 1 species
GCCCCCAUCGUCUAGUGGACUAGGACGCGGCCCUUUCACGGCCACGACCGGGGUUCGAAUCCCCGUGGGGGCA